rnacentral:rRNA from 1 species
AUCUUGGUUCAGGACGAACGCUGGCGGCGUGCCUAAUACAUGCAAGUCGAACGGUCUUUCUAUGGAAGCUUGCUCCACUGAGAAGAUAGUGGCGAACGGGUGAGUAACACGUGGGUAACCUGCCCAUAAGAGGGGGAUAACAUCCGGAAACGGGUGCUAAUACCGCAUAGUUUUCUUGAUCGCAUGAUCGGGAAAGGAAAGACGGCCUUUGUGCUGUCGCUUAUGGAUGGACCCGCGGCGUAUUAGUUAGUUGGUGAGGUAAUGGCUCACCAAGACGAUGAUACGUAGCCGACCUGAGAGGGUGAUCGGCCACAUUGGGACUGAGACACGGCCCAAACUCCUACGGGAGGCAGCAGUAGGGAAUCUUCCGCAAUGGACGAAAGUCUGACGGAGCAACGCCGCGUGAGUGAAAGAAGGUUUUCGGAUCGUAAAACUCUGUUGUCAGAGAAGAACAAGUUGGAGAGUAACUGCUCCAGCCUUGACGGUAUCUGACCAGAAAGCCACGGCUAACUACGUGCCAGCCGCCGC